GCCUGGGUGGCUCAGUCAGUUAAGCAUCUGACUUCGGCUCAGGUCAUGAUAUCAUGGUCUGUGGGUUCGAGCCCCACAUCCGGCU
rnacentral:tRNA from 1 species